UACAUAGGGUGCAAGCGUUGUCCGGAAUUAUUGGGCGUAAAGCAUCCGUAGCCGGCUCUGUAAGUUUUCAGUUAAAUCUAUACGCUCAACGUAUGGGCUGCCGAAAAUACUGUAGAGAUAGGGAGUGGGAGAGGUAGACGGUACUCGGUAGGAAGGGGUAAAAUCCUUUGAUCUAUCGAUGACCACCUGUGGCGAAGGCGGUCUACCAGAACACGUUCGACGGUGAGGGAUGAAAGCUGGGGGAGCAAACCGG
rnacentral:rRNA from 1 species